rnacentral:lncRNA from 1 species
GAAUGCAAAUAAUUAUGCAGCAUCCAUAUAUUCAAAGCAUCGAUAGUGUAGCAACCCAAUUUCCAAGCUCCAAUCAUAUGUACAACAAUGCAAUAACAUAGGUUAACAACAACAAUAAUCCAGAUAAUUUGUAUAUACUGUCUGAUGCAGGAUCAAAAGUUCGACGUCCAUGAGGAUAAGGUAUGUAGAGUCUAUGGUUUCCUGCAAGAAAAACUCAUAUCCCC